rnacentral:rRNA from 1 species
UACGUAGGGUGCAAGCGUUAAUCGGAAUUACUGGGCGUAAAGCGUGCGCAGGCGGUUUUGUAAGUCUGUUGUGAAAUCUCCGGGCUCAACCUGGGAAUUGCGAUGGAGACUGCAAGGCUAGAAUCUGGCAGAGGGGGGUAGAAUUCCACGUGUAGCAGUGAAAUGCGUAGAGAUGUGGAGGAACACCGAUGGCGAAGGCAGCCCCCUGGGUCAAGAUUGACGCUCAUGCACGAAAGCGUGGGGAGCAAACAGG